rnacentral:lncRNA from 1 species
AGAUUUAAUGAAGCUACUUCAGAACUUAUAGGUUUUGUGGAUCUAUGGCCUGACUAAUAUUUUGUCACUUAAUGCCUAUCUUCCAACCUUAUAAAAAGGAUUGCAGCCAUUUUUCUAUGUCAGGUAUAUAACUGAGUGCUACUAAAUUUUAAAUGUCUUAUCUCUCCUUGGAUUUAAAUACAGAUAGCCUUAAACCUCGGAGUUUUUCUUAAUGGAAGACGGUAUACAAUACCUUGACUGGCUUCUUUCAUUACCCCAGAAGUGGCUAGGACUUUGCACCUCUAGCAGAAUUCAAGCCCACCAGCAAACAGAUAUACUUUUAACCUCCAAAAUCUAGAAGUCAUUAAAAAUACCUCUCUCCCCCGCCCCCCCAUUAAUAAGGGAAUGUGGGAAGAUCUUUGUCUAUAUUAAACCAAAUUCUAAAUUUUCCUUGUGAAGAAAAUAGAUUAUCACACAAAUUAAAUUACAUAUUGCAUCGUCAGUGGUGAUAGCUGGGAAGUGAGUAGAAACAAGUUAAAAGAAAAUUGUCAAUCUUUAAUUUUGUUUCCUAAAUUUCGAAAUCCUUGUUUCCAGGUUGUCUGUGCCAUGCCUGGAGAUAAAUGGUGAUUUUUAGGAAAAUUUGUAAGAACGUUAAGGGGCUGAAUUUUCCAAGAAGCAGUUACCGCCAUCCAGUGCACCUUCAGGCAAACACUACAAGGUGGGAUUUACCAAAGGCUUAUGAAUGGUGAAGGCAGACUGAACAUCAAGCCCAUUGAGGAAGAGUGCAAGGUCUGCGCAGGUAGGCUCUGAGCAUGUACAUUGCACAAGAAUUUGUAACAGGAAAGUCAGACUGACCCUUG